ACGCUGCCGGCAGGCCUAACACAUGCAAGUCGAGCGGAUGAAGGGAGCUUGCUCCUGANUUCAGCGGCGGACGGGUGAGUAAUGCCUAGGAAUCUGCCUGGUAGUGGGGGAUAACGUCCGGAAACGGGCGCUAAUACCGCAUACGUCCUGAGGGAGAAAGUGGGGGAUCUUCGGACCUCACGCUAACAGAUGAGCCUAGGUCGGAUUAGCUAGUUGGUGGGGUAAAGGCCUACCAAGGCGACGAUCCGUAACUGGUCUGAGAGGAUGAUCAGUCACACUGGAACUGAGACACGGUCCAGACUCCUACGGGAGGCAGCAGUGGGGAAUAUUGGACAAUGGGCGAAAGCCUGAUCCAGCCAUGCCGCGUGUGUGAAGAAGGUCUUCGGAUUGUAAAGCACUUUAAGUUGGGAGGAAGGGCAGUAAGUUAAUACCUUGCUGUUUUGACGUUACCAACAGAAUAAGCACCGGCUAACUUCGUGCCAGCAGCCGCGGUAAUACGAAGGGUGCAAGCGUUAAUCGGAAUUACUGGGCGUAAAGCGCGCGUAGGUGGUUCAGCAAGUUGGAUGUGAAAUCCCCGGGCUCAACCUGGGAACUGCAUCCAAAACUACUGAGCUAGAGUACGGUAGAGGGUGGUGGAAUUUCCUGUGUAGCGGUGAAAUGCGUAGAUAUAGGAAGGAACACCAGUGGCGAAGGCGACCACCUGGACUGAUACUGACACUGAGGUGCGAAAGCGUGGGGAGCAAACAGGAUUAGAUACCCUGGUAGUCCACGCCGUAAACGAUGUCGACUAGCCGUUGGGAUCCUUGAGAUCUUAGUGGCGCAGCUAACGCGAUAAGUCGACAACGUGGGGAGUACGGCCGCAAGGUUA
rnacentral:rRNA from 1 species